rnacentral:snRNA from 1 species
GUCCCUUCGGCGACAUCUGAUAAAAUUCGUCUGAUACGGAGAAGAUUAGUAUGGCUCCUACGCAAGGAUGACAUGCACAAAUCGAGAAAUGGUUCAAUUUUUU